CCCCAGAAUUUAAGCAUAUUAAUAAGGGAGGAGAAGAAACCACCGGGAUUCCUGAGUAGCUGCGAGCGAAACGGGAGCUCAGCACGUAGGACGGUGUGUAACUGCCCUGUCCGAUUCCGUGUACUGAACGACCAUUAUUCUACUAUGCGGUGCAAACAGUUCAAGUUCAACUUGAAGGUGCUCAUCUACCCAGAGAGGUGAUAGGCCCGUAGAACGGCACUAACCCACGUGACAGUAGACGGUCGCUCCAUGGAGUCGUGUUGCUUGAUAGUGCAGCACAAGUGGGAGGUAACUCCUUCUAAAGCUAAAUACCACCAUAGACCGAUAGAAGACAAGUACGUGAGGAAAGUUGAAAAGCACUCUGAAUAGAGAGUCAAAGAGUACGUGAAACUCCCUAGGGGACGCAAACCUGUGAACCCAAUGUUCCGUGCGGUGCGAUAUUAGCGGUACGUUGGCCCCACGCCGGGUCGGCUGCCGUGCACUUAUCAAGACCGCAGCAACGGACAUCGCGAUCCAUUACAAUACUCCUACUGGCAAUGGCCCCUAGCUCGUGGUUGGCGGCUCCUCAGUACGGAGACGCUCGCGGCUUCCCGGACCAGGUGUCUCCGCGCCUUUCACACCAGAGAGGCGCAGGGCCCGACCGAGCUUGGUGUGUCGCUGAAGCGUGAUGGAUUGAUACGAGCGGGGAUGAGAGCGCACGGCCUACUAGCCCGAAGGCCCAUCAGCACUUGACCCUCCGAUCGGUGAUGACGCAUUAGCAUUGGGGCACCUACGGGACCCGUCUUGAAACACGG
rnacentral:rRNA from 1 species